rnacentral:rRNA from 1 species
CACGUAGGCGGAUCUUUAAGUCAGGGGUGAAAUCCCAAGGCUCAACCUUGGAACUGCCUUUGAUACUGAGAGCCUUGAGUUCGGGAGAGGUGAGUGGAACUGCGAGUGUAGAGGUGAAAUUCGUAGAUAUUCGCAAGAACACCAGUGGCGAAGGCGGCUCACUGGCCCGAUACUGACGCUGAGGUGCGAAAGCGUGGGAGCAAACA